rnacentral:rRNA from 1 species
UACGAAGGGGGCUAGCGUUGUUCGGAUUUACUGGGCGUAAAGCGCGUGUAGGCGGGUCGGUAAGUUGGGGGUGAAAUCCCGAGGCUCAACCUCGGAACUGCCUUCAAAACUGGCGACCUGGAGCAAGAUAGAGGCGAGUGGAAUUGCGAGUGUAGAGGUGAAAUUCGUAGAUAUUCGCAGGAACACCAGUGGCGAAGGCGACUCGCUGGAUCUUUGCUGACGCUGAGACGAGAAAGCGUGGGGAGCAAACAGG